GAUGAACGCUAGCGGCAGGCUUAAUACAUGCAAGUUGAACGAGAUUUACUUUGUAGUAAUACUAAGUAAUGAAAGUGGCGCACGGGUGCGUAACACGUAUGCAACCUACCCUUAACAGGGGGAUAACAGGGAGAAAUUUCUGCUAAUACCCCAUAGAGUUUUACUGUGGCAUCACAAAAAAACUAAAGUUCCGGCGGUUAAGGAUGGGCAUGCGUCCCAUUAGCUAGUUGGUAAGGUAACGGCUCACCAAGGCUACGAUGGGUAGGGGUUCUGAGAGGAAGGUCCCCCACACUGGUACUGAGACACGGACCAGACUCCUACGGGAGGCAGCAGUAAGGAAUAUUGGUCAAUGGGCGCAAGCCUGAACCAGCCAUGCCCGCGUGCAGGAAGACAGCCUUAUGAGUUGUAAACUGCUUUUAUUAUAGAAAAAUUUGGUGUACGUGUACGCCAUUGAUAGUAUAUAUUGAAUAAGCAUCGGCUAACUCCGUGCCAGCAGCCGCGGUAAUACGGAG
rnacentral:rRNA from 1 species